rnacentral:sRNA from 1 species
AUUUAUGAAAUCUAACACGCAGUACAGAGUUCCUCUCCUCCAAGCUUCCAUUUAAAACUGCUGGUAAAAAAAGAGAGAGAGAGGAGAAUCUGGGUGCAGCGACCCUUGAAAAUCAGGGUUACAAACCUUCUCCGCCCUUCCAGUCAUAGAGUGACAGCUCUGGCUCUGAACAAUACUGUAUUCCAGGUACACAUACAGAUGAAAGAUGACUAAUUCAUGCAACUUAUUGAAAGCAGCAGAUGUCCAAAGAAAUAAAUUCCUCUUCAUGGAAAGACUGAUGGAAGGGACUACAGUCCGGGAGAAACAUACAACUCUGUCUGAGCCCAUAAUUGCCUCUCAUUAUAUGGAGCACGUUAAGAGGUCCAUGCAGCGCUGCUCUAGAAUAAACACGGGAGAGAGCCAGCAAUGGCCAAAUCCAUCAACACCAAUCCACUUUAUUGUGUUUUGCCUGGGUUUAAAAAAUGCCAGGAAUUUUCUAAUUUAGUCAGCAAAAGAAAAUGAUUCAUAGUCAUUAAUAUUCAGGUACAAUAAGGGACAUGCAGGCUGAUUCGCAGAAAAGAUACGAUGCAAAGAUUUAAAACAAUCUUCUGACAAUGCAAUUAACCAUAUAUCUGUAAGAUUUAUGACAAGUUUUGCAACAUAAACUGUUUAAUCAUGAAAAUAUAAAAAAGUUUGGUAAAUGAUUGCUGAG